rnacentral:rRNA from 1 species
UACGUAGGGGGCUAGCGUUGUCCGGAAUCAUUGGGCGUAAAGCGCGCGUAGGCGGCCCGGUAAGUCCGCUGUAAAAGUCCAGGGCUCAACCCUGGAAAGCCGGUGGAUACUGUCGGGCUCGAGUCCGGAAGAGGCGAGUGGAAUUCCCGGUGUAGCGGUGAAAUGCGCAGAUAUCGGGAGGAACACCUAUGGCGAAGGCAGCUCGCUGGGACGUUACUGACGCUGAGACGCGAAAGCGUGGGGAGCAAACAGG